rnacentral:rRNA from 1 species
GAUUAACGCUGGCGGCGUGCCUAACACAUGCAAGUCGAGCGGCAGCGAGUUUUACACUGAAUUCUGGAAGCUUCUAGUUGAAAGAGAAGAUUUAUUCAAGAAUUUUGUGUAAAAUGUCGGCGAGCGGCGGACGGCUGAGUAACGCGUGGGAACGUACCCCAAAGUGAGGGAUAACGCAUCGAAAGGUGUGCUAAUACCGCAUAUGGUCUUCGGAUUAAAGCCUUCGGGCGCUUUGGGAACGGCCUGCGUAAGAUUAGAUAGUUGGUGGGGUAAUGGCCUACCAAGUCGACGAUCUUUAACUGGUUUGAGAGGAUGAUCAGUCAGACUGGAACUGAGACACGGUCCAGACUCCUGCGGGAGGCAGCAGUGAGGAAUCUUCCACAAUGGGCGAAAGCCUGAUGGAGCAACGCCGCGUGCAGGAUGAAGGCCUUCGGGUUGUAAACUGCUUUUAUAAGUGAGGAUUAUGACAGUAACUUAUGAAUAAGGAUCGGCUAACCACGUG